rnacentral:rRNA from 2 species
UACAGAGGGUGCGAGCGUUAAUCGGAAUUACUGGGCGUAAAGGGCGCGUAGGUGGUUUAUUAAGAUUGAUGUGAAAUCCCUGGGCUUAACCUAGGAACGGCAUCGAUGACUGAUAGACUGGAGUACUGUAGAGGGUAGUGGAAUUUCCGGUGUAGCGGUGAAAUGCGUAGAGAUCGGAAGGAACACCGGUGGCGAAGGCGGCUACCUGGACAGUGACUGACACUGAGGCGCGAGAGCGUGGGGAGCAAACAGG